GACACGCUCCUCCGAUGACCCGGGAAUGGUUUAUUCCAAGUUCAAGGCGGCCCGACGGAGCCAGAAAGGGAACUCUGGGAAGAGACACAAGCCACGGCUCCUCGAGACGGCUCCAACACUCACCUCUCUGGGGUUUUGGCAAAUAAUUUAACGACCGUUAGGGCUUCGCUCUCGUAAUCUGAGAAGAGGCGAUCAGGGGCUGGGUCCUGCGUCUUAAGACCGUUAGGAGAGUCCAGAGAGGAAAUGAAUACAGAUGCACUUCUCUGUGACUGAGACCCACAGGGCCGGCCAAGGGACUUGCUGCUGGACCACUCCCACUGUUGCCCUUUACGCGUCUGUGGGAAACAUUUGCAGGCUAUUCCGCAGUGGCCCGGACAGGGCGUCUCGAAGGUAUCCAGUGAAUCUGUGACCACUGCCUACUGCAUUGGAGAUCUGGGACACGUGUCUCGUAUUGUCUUCCUGAACGGCUUUGUUGAUGGAAAUAGACCCCAAACCAGGAACAAAAUCCUCGCAGCAAUCUCUGCCGGCCAGAUACAUCCCAGCGGGUUAAACGCUAGCAGGCUCUCAUCCACAACCAAAGACAGAGGGACGUUGUAUCCUGCCACGAGCAUACAGAAGGUUGAAAUCAACUUCAUAUUUACAGAUGAACGAGAAAUAACCACAGGGGCUAUCGCUCAAGAGAGUUUAAUCCUCCGAACCUGGGUUCACUGAAUGAAACUACCACGAUGUUGCUGAAACGCAGCUGAGUAUAAGCGGUUCCUACCGUUGCCAGAAGUUUCUGGGGCGAUGUGGCACCACCUGAGGGGCCCCCAGGCCUUCCAUUUCAAAACGAGGAGUCUCGAGCCUCAACGGAUGGCUCCAGUUUGCCAUAACUAGAAUGUUCCAACACGGAUUCCAGUCCCUCUGAUUCCCGAGUCCAAAUCUCUCCCGGACACCCCCCACCUGGGCUGCCUCUCGUACUGAGCUCAGGAAUACUGCCUCAGUGAUACGUCUGGGACCAUGUCUGGGGCCGGGUGAGGACCAGACACAGGCCACGGUCUGGUGGAAGGGGAAGCCCCAGGAGAUUGGCUGCCAUCGCCAAGCUGGCUCCGUGCCCACCGUCCAUCCAGCCUGCAGACGACAUCAGUAGGCAUCCCUGCUCCCCUUUUGUUACAUAGGAGACCACGGCUUGAAAAAACAAGCUAGCAUUUUCGGGAAAGGUACAGCUGGGAUUAGGACGCAGUCAAACCUAACACCAAAGUCCUGGGCUAGUUCCCUCCUGUAUUUGUUUUUUUACGUUUAAAUGCGCUUAAUGGUUUAUGGCACUUCGAUAAAUACCAAAUGCGGAAACUCAGGGUUGUUGUUUUUUUUUUUUUUUUAAUUUAUGAAGUUGAGGUAUUUUCCACACUUACACCAGAGAGUGUUGUUGACUAUAAAUGAACCAUCGCUCAAGUAGCUUAAUCCGAAUGGGAAAUUAAAACGGCUGGUAAUGUAGAGAUUGCUUUCUUGAGACAGGAUCGCGUUCCUGACAGCACACACUCCAGUUUCCAGGCUGGUAAAUCCAAUCGUUUCACUGUCGAAUAUUCUAGCUCUCCCAUAAUAAAUGCUCAUUCUGUUUCCAUAUGCUGGACAGAUGACUGGCAAAUUUACCCUUUUUAGAAAUCUUAGAUUAAUCCACGUUAAUUUAAUUCGUUGCAUUUAACUCCUGAAAUUCUGUGACAAAUGCAGCCCAGUAUCACAGACAUAGCUCAAUGAGAUUGGACAACUGGACAGAGGUCACACAGCCAGGAUGGGGCAAAGCCAGGACCCCAGCCCUGCUGUGUCCAGCUUGUGCAACCAGGUUGGCUCUAUAAAGAGAUUUUUAAAAGCAGUCUGAGGCCCCCAUUUUCCUUUCAUCUUUUCUGCCCCCGUCCUCUAUAUCUGAUUAUUAAUUUGCAGUAUUUUACAGUCACAAAUAAACUGUUUUAUGCUGAA